rnacentral:rRNA from 1 species
AAUGAACGCUGGCGGCGCGCCUAAUACAUGCAAGUCGAGCGAGAAGACGUAGCAAUACGUUUGUAAAGCGGCGAACGGGUGAGGAAUACAUGGGUAACCUACCCUCGAGUGGGGAAUAACUAGCCGAAAGGUUAGCUAAUACCGCGUACGCUUCUUGGACUUCGGUUCAGGGAGGAAAGCGAUGCCGAGGGUAUCGCGCUCUUGGAUGGGCUCAUGUCCUAUCAGCUUGUUGGGAGGUAACGGCUCACCAAGGCUUCGACGGGUAGCUGGUCUGAGAGGACGAUCACCGCACACUGGCACUGCGACACGGGCCAGACUCCUACGGGAGGCAGCAGUAAGGAAUAUUGCGCAAUGGGCGAAAGCCUGACGCAGCGACGCCGCGUGGGGGAUGAAGGUCUUCGGAUUGUAAACCCCUUUCGGGAGGGAAGAUGGAAUGGGGUAACCCAUUCGGACGGUACCUCCAGAAGCAGCCACGGCUAACUUCGUGCCAGCAGCCGCAGUAAC